rnacentral:rRNA from 1 species
AGUGAACGCUGGCGGUAUGCCUAAUACAUGCAAGUCGAACGGAAGCACAGUAAGCUUGCUCCCCUACGGGUAGCGACUGGCGGGUGGGUAACGCGUGCAUCAGAAUCCUCUUAUUCUUGGGUGAUAACGUGGGACAACAUACGAUACUGCCGCAUAUAUUCUACCGCUGGGAUCAAUAGUUAUUGAGGCUUUGGCUGUCUCUUUUAGACGAAUCCGCGCCGCAUUAGCUAGUUGGUAAGGUAACGGCUUACCAAGGCAACGAUGCGUAGCCGAGCUGAGAGGGUGAUCGGCCACACUGGAACUGAGACACGGUCCAGACUCCUACGGGAGGCAGCAGUAGGGAAUCUUCGACAAUGGGCGAAAGCCUGACCGAGCAACACCGCGUGGGUGAUGAAGGCCUUCGGGUCGUAAAGCCCUGUUGUUGGGAAAGAAAAGCAGCGGGAGUAACCCUGCCUGUUCUGACGGUACCCAAAGAAUAAGCAACGGCUAACUUCGUG